UGCCAGCCGCCGCGGUAAGACGGGGGGAAUUAGUGUUAUUCGGAAUGAUUGGGCGUAAAGGGUAAGUAGGCGGUAAAUAAAGUUAGAAACUAAAGCUCAUGGCUUAACUAUGAAUCAGUUUCUAAAACUUAUUUACUUGAGUUUGGGAGGGGAUAGUGCAAUUUCCAAAGGAGAGAUAGAAUUCGAAGAGAUUGGAAGGAGCACCAGAGGCGAAGGCGACUAUCUGGACCAUAACUGACGCUGAGGUACGAAAGCAUGGGUAGCGAACAGGAUUAGAUA
rnacentral:rRNA from 1 species